rnacentral:rRNA from 1 species
GACGAACGCUGGCGGCGUGCUUAACACAUGCAAGUCGAACGGAAAGGCCCUGCUUGCCGGGUACUCGAGUGGCGAACGGGUGAGUAACACGUGGGUGAUCUGCCCUGCACUUCGGGAUAAGCCUGGGAAACUGGGUCUAAUACCGGAUAGGAGCCAUUUUUAGUGUGAUGGUUGGAAAGUUUUUUCGGUGUAGGAUGAGCUCGCGGCCUAUCAGCUUGUUGGUGGGGUAAUGGCCUACCAAGGCGGCGACGGGUAGCCGGCCUGAGAGGGUGGACGGCCACAUUGGGACUGAGAUACGGCCCAGACGCCUACGGGAGGCAGCAGUGGGGAAUAUUGCACAAGGGGCGCAAGCCUGAUGCAGCGACGCCGCGUGGGGGAGGACGGCCUUCGGGUUGUAAACGCCUUUCGCUAGGGACGAAGCUUUUUGUGACGGUACCUAGAUAAGAAGCACCGGCUAACUACGUG